AGGGUUUGAUUAUGGCUCAGGACGAACGCUGGCGGCGUGCCUAAUACAUGCAAGUCGAACGAAGCUUUCUUUCACCGAAUGCUUGCAUUCACCGAAAGAAGCUUAGUGGCGAACGGGUGAGUAACACGUAGGCAACCUGCCCAAAAGAGGGGGAUAACACUUGGAAACAGGUGCUAAUACCGCAUAACCAUGAACACCGCAUGAUGUUCAUGUAAAAGACGGCUUUUGCUGUCACUUUUGGAUGGGCCUGCGGCGUAUUAACUUGUUGGUGGGGUAACGGCCUACCAAGGUGAUGAUACGUAGCCGAACUGAGAGGUUGAUCGGCCACAUUGGGACUGAGACACGGCCCAA
rnacentral:rRNA from 1 species